UGGUGCGAUCAUACCAACUCUAAUGCAUUGGAUCCCAUCAGAACUCCACAGUGAAGCGUGCUUGGGCGAGAGUAGUACUAGGACGGGUGACAUCCAUGGAAGUCCUUGUGUUGCACUUC
rnacentral:rRNA from 1 species